rnacentral:rRNA from 1 species
GACGAACGCUGGCGGCGUGCCUAAUACAUGCAAGUCGAACGCAGUGGGGACGGUGGAGUAACAAGUGGGUAACCUCCCAUCAGAGGGGAUAACCCUUGGAUACAGGUGCUAAACCGCUACUGAUGGAGCGACCCGCGGGGCAGUAGCUUGUGGGUGGGGUAACGGCUCACCAAGGCCACGAUGCCUAGCCGGCCGGAGAGGAUGACCGGCCACACUGGGACUGAGACACGGCCCAGACUCCUACGGGAGGCAGCAGUAGGGAAUCUUCGGCAAUGGACGAAAGUCUGACCGAGCAACGCCGCGUGAGUGAAGAAGGUUUUCGGAUUGUAAAACACUGUUGUUGGAGAAGCGGUAUCUAACCAGAAAGCCACGGCUAACUACGUGCCAGCAGCCGCGGUAAUAC